AGUGAGCGCUGGCGGUAGGCCUAACACAUGCAAGUCGAACGGCAGCACAGUAAGAGCUUGCUCUUACGGGUGGCGAGUGGCGGACGGGUGAGGAAUACAUCGGAAUCUACUUUUUCGUGGGGGAUAACGUAGGGAAACUUACGCUAAUACCGCAUACGACCUACGGGUGAAAGCAGGGGAUCUUCGGACCUUGCGCGAUUGAAUGAGCCGAUGUCGGAUUAGCUAGUUGGCGGGGUAAAGGCCCACCAAGGCGACGAUCCGUAGCUGGUCUGAGAGGAUGAUCGGCCACACUGGAACUGGGACACGGUCCAGACUCCUACGGGAGGCAGCAGUGGGGAAUAUGGGACAAUGGGCGCAAGCCUGAUCCAGCCAUACCGCGUGGGUGAAGAAGGCCUUCGGGUUGUAAAGCCCUUUUGUUGGGAAAGAAAAGCAGCAGGUUAAUACCCCGCUGUUCUGACGGUACCCAAAGAAUAAGCACCGGCUAACUUCGUG
rnacentral:rRNA from 1 species